AUAAAGUUUAAAUUUAGCUUAAAUAUUUAUUUUAUUUUUUUUUUACAUGUAAAUUUUUGUGUGAAUGAUAGUAUAAUUUUAAUAAGAUUACUAGUAUUUUUAUUCGCAGUAUUUAAUAUUAUUAAUUUAAGAAAUUAUGAAUUAGAAUUUAAUUUUUUUAGUAACUAAUUUUGUGCCAGCAGUUGCGGUUAUACAAUUACUAUAAAUGAAUAUUAUUAGAUAAUAAUUAAAUAUAUUAUAAAAAGUAAAAUUAAAUUUAUUAGGUGAAAUUUUAAAUUUGAUUUAUUUUUAAUAUUUUUUAUAUUAUGAAAUUUUUAUUUAAACUAGGAUUAGAUACCCUAUUAUUUAAAAUGUAAAUUUGAAUUCUUAAGAAGUAGUAGUUAUGAUCUUGAAAUUUAAAAAUUUUGGCGGUAUUUUAGUCUAUUCAGAGGAACCUGUUUUUUAAUCGAUAGUCCACGAUUGACUUUACUUAAUUUAAUAAGUUUGUAUAUCGUCGUUCUAAUAAAAUUUUAUAAGAAUAAUAAUUUUUAGUAUUUUAAAUUAAAAUAGAUAUCAGAUCAAGGUGCAAUAUAUAGUUAAGUUUAAAUGGGUUACAAUAAAUUUAUUUAAAGAUGAAUUAGUUAAGGAAGAUAUCUAUGAAGGAGGAUUUGAUAGUAAUAUAUUUUAAUUAAAAUAUGUGAUUAUAGCUCUAAAAUAUGUACAUAUCGCCCGUCGCUCUUAUAUAAAAUAAGAUAAGUCGUAACAUAGUAGAUGUACUGGAAAGUGUAUCUAGAAUGA
rnacentral:ncRNA from 1 species